rnacentral:rRNA from 1 species
UACGGGGGGGGGCAAGCGUUGUUCGGAAUUACUGGGCGUAAAGGGCUCGUAGGCGGCCAACUAAGUCAGACGUGAAAAUCCCUCGGCUUAACCGGGGAACUGCGUCUGAUACUGGAUGGCUUGAGGUUGGGAGAGGGAUGCGGAAUUCCAGGUGUAGCGGUGAAAUGCGUAGAUAUCUGGAGGAACACCGGUGGCGAAAGCGCGAU